AUCACAUCUAUACUACUCUUUAAGACAAUAGUGUAGGCGUCCAUAUCCACGGUUAUGCCCCUAUCCUCCGCGAUCCCCAAGCGCGCAAAUCCCGUCUCUAGCGCACUCGUCGCUCGCGAGAUCUCGACGCCGCCGCCGAGGCCCCAGCACCGAUCGUGGCAGCAGAGGAAGAGAGGGAGGUGGUGGGCUUGUCCAGGGCGACAGCACCUGCACCGAUCGUGGCAGCAAAUGAUGAAGGGAGGGAGGCGGCGGGCUUGUCCACGGCGAAAAUGGCCAUCUCCGGCAUGGUCGCCCCUAGCUCUAGAGACGGUGCCGUGGUAGGGUGGGCUGCGCGUGGCGGCUGCCCAGGUGCCGAGGUGCGGUCGUGAUGCUCGGGAGCCGCAACAGCCAGCCGCCACCUCCCCCGUGGCCCUGCCCCCAAACCCGCGAUCCUCUCGAGCCGCCCCCACCCCGCCCCACCGUUCUCUAGCAGUCUGGCUCCAUCCGCAAGCCCCGCACGUCUCCAUGAUUCCACGCCCCCCGCCACCAGCUCUACACCCGGUGCUCCGCCUCCAUGCCGCAGAUCGAUCACGUCCCCACUCCCCAAGGCUUUGGUUUACACCGGCAACUAUUCGCCCUUCCCUACUAAAUCUGCGAUCAUUUCUUCUCGAUUGUGACCAUGGCGACUCAGGUAUCCCUCGUCAUGUGGAGGGCGGUCUUCUCAGCGCUAGGCUUGCUCGUGGUGGCCACGCUGGUGUACACAUUGGCCACUGACGGCUCGCUGUUCCAUCCUGAGCUGGUUACGCCGUAUUUGUGAGGGAUUCGGGUUAUAUUUGAGUUGUAUGCUGAGAACAAGGAUGAGACUAAAGAAUUCUUUCAAACAACAGCUGGUGCCAUUUUUCUCUCUUAAUUUUCAUGAGCAUCCAACACAUAAAAUUGAACGUUUCAUCUAAGCUGAGCAGGUUCAUCAUUUUUAUUCUUACAUUUAAAAUUGUUCUUUUGAGGAGUAAUUCAGAACAUAUUAGUGCCUUAUAACGUAUGUCUUCUCUUAAAUUCAGAACAUAUUAAUGCCUGAAUGAUGGUCUUCUACCAAUCGUGAGUUGAUACAUGUUUAUGCCUUUUAUGGUUUUCUUCAAAAGGUUGGCAGUGAAUACAACUUUACAAAUGUAAUUUCUCUCAAGGAGCUAUUCAGGCAACUUUGUAUUGUUAAUUAGAAUUUUUUGGAUCAUGUAGAGGAAUGUUUCUAACUCUAAUAAUCACAGGGAUUAGCAUGGGGAGGUAUAUGGGACAGGGAGUAGUAAUGUUUGUCUGGUUAUGAAUGCAUUCAAGAAAGAAUAUCUAAAAUAACUCCCAAAUCCAAAUAGUAUGGCGAGCAUUGUAAAAUCAUUAUAACGAAUUUUUGCUUUUAAAGUUCUGCUCUCUUUGCAGGUCAAUUUUGCUACUUAGCAUUCUUUUAGAUAUCAUAACUUGUUGCAUUCUUAAUUUGUUCCCACAUGUAUAAGUUUUAGGCAAAGAAGGAAAUGGUUAUUUGAAGCUUCCCGUUUUGCCUUAAAAUAUGCUCUCUUUUCAUUUCCUAAAAUUAAACCAUCUCUUUUAUUAAAACUCCAUGGCGUUUUAGCCUCUCUCCAAUAUUUAACUCAUUCAUUUAACUCUGAUGAAUGAUUUGUAAUGAUUUUUGUUAACCUCGUAGCAACGCAGACACCUAAAUUAUUUUUAUUCUUCACUACAUGUUACCUUCUCUGUGGUACGGGAGUAAUAUAUAGUGACGCUAAAGUAUGAGAGUUUUGAGUUCCUUAUUAAUGUAGCACCCCAUUUUUGUUGGAGCUCCUUAUUAUCAUAAAAACAUUUAUUUAUUUCUUGACCCCUUCUUUGCUAAUAAGAAGUUUCUUGCGUUUUUCUUUUUAGUCGCCUGAUCAACUUUCGCUCUUAUGUUCAUCUUCACAAGAAAUGGAGCAGCAACAUUUGGACGAUCCACAACCUGUUGCGGCCCUACCUGCAAGCCUGCACCUGUGGUCUCUCUAGCUAUUGUGGUAUUUCCUCUUGUGCCUGUGGAAGCUCGCUUCAGUUCCAUCGCCAGUUCGGCAGUUCAGGUCUCAGUUCCAGUUUCAUCUCCAGUGAUGAUAUCUCAGCCUAUGGAACAGGACUAAGAUGCCACAAGUUCAAUUGCUGGAGAGGCAGGGACGGUGAUGCCAGGAGCCACGACUCCCAAUCUUUACCGAGUGCUGAUUCUUCCUUCAUACUAUCAAUACUGUUUUUGUGCCUGUGCACUGCUACGAUUAUAUUCCUUUUUAUUGUGGGCCACCAGAAGUUGCACAAGCUCUGCAUGAGGUUAUCAAGCCAGUGGUUGUGCACUCAACGCCUCUAUUGAACACCAAGACCUUUACAAUAUGUCUAAAUUAGACGACUCAAAUGCAAACGGUGGUAUUAUA